ensembl:snRNA U6 U6 spliceosomal RNA
AUGUUGCUUUAGCAUAUAUACUAAAACUUGAACAAUGCAGAGAAGAUUAACAUGAAACCUACACAAGGCUGACAUGCAAAUUUCCCCUCUAUGUUUUG